rnacentral:rRNA from 1 species
GUGAGGAAUAUUGCGCAAUGGAGGCAACUCUGACGCAGCCAUGCCGCGUGCAGGAAGAAGGCGCUACGCAUUGUAAACUGCUUUUAACCGGGAAGAAACCCCAGGACGUGUCCUGGGUUGACGGUACCGGAGGAAUAAGCACCGGCUAACUUCGUGCCAGCAGCCGCGGUAAUACGAAGGGUGCAAGCGUUAUCCGGAUUCAUUGGGUUUAAAGGGUGCGUAGGCGGAGCGUUAAGUCAGUGGUGAAAUCCUGCAGCUUAACUGUAGACUUGCCAUUGAUACUGGCGCUCUUGAGUGCGCUUGAAGUGGGCGGAAUGUGCCGUGUAGCGGUGAAAUGCUUAGAUAUGGCACAGAACACCAAUUGCGAAGGCAGCUCACUAAGGCGAUACUGACGCUGAGGCACGAAAGCGUGGGGAUCGAACAGGAUUAGAUACCCUGGUAGUCC